GGGCAAAGAACUUUCCAGGCAUAUAAACUAACGGGAGCAGAGCCAGAGGGAAGUGCAGUGCAGAUCUAUGUGGAGAGCAGCCAAUGUCCAGUGCCACUGGAGCCAUGCUUGCACAGGGGAGUUGAGUGGAACAAGGUUGGGGCCAGAUGGCUAAGAACUUUUGUAUUCAUGCAAUAAAGAGGUCAGGCUUUACUCUGUAAGCAUGAAGGAACACAUUGAAAAUUCUCAAGCGGAUGGAACAAGACAAUAGAGGACCAUCUCAACAAUAACCUAGAAUACCAUGGAAGACAGACAUAAAUCAUCUGUAUUUGUCCUGCUCAAGACUUGCCAUAUGCCAGGCAGGUGUGAUGGCACACACUUGUGGUCCCAGCUACUCAGGAUGCUGAGGUGGGAGAACAGAUUGAUUCUGGGAGGUCAAGGCUGCAGUGAGCUAUGAUUGCUCCACUGCACUCCACCCUGGGUGACAGGAACUGCAGACAGCCUCUAGAAGUUGAAUCAGCCUCUACCAAGAAGCUUCUACCGGUGCAAAGAACUGAAUUUUUCAACAAACCUGAGGGAGCUUGGAAGUGGAAAUUUCCACAAUCAAGCCUCUGAUGAGAAUUCAGACUCAGCCAACACCUGGAUUGCAGCCACAUGAGGCUUGAAGCAGGGAACCCAGUUAAGCCAUGUCAGAACUUCUAUCCACAGACCUUAGGUAAUAAUAAAUGUGUGUUGCUUUAAGCCACUAAGUUUUUGCUAAUUUGUUUUGUAACAAUUAUAUAUAACUAGUACACAUGAAUAGUAGAAUCUAAUAUCAGCCAUUGACUUCAAUGAAGGAAAAAACAGAUGUGAAAAAGAAUACAUGAAAUAGUACAUGAAAGAAUACCUGCACAUGGCAUACACUUGAAUCCAUGUAUAUGCCAGGCUUUCUUGUGUUGCACACCCAGACCAACCCUGUAGUUAAAGAUAACACAGUAGAAAAACUGAAGAGUUACUGAGAGUAAUUAAAAUGUCUUAAGCAGGAGUGGGG
rnacentral:lncRNA from 10 species